UUAAGUCCGCAACGAGCGCAACCCCUAUUGUUAGUUGCCAUCAUUCAGUUGGGCACUCUAGCGAGACUGCCGGUAAUAAACCGGAGGAAGGUGGGGAUGACGUCAAAUCAUCAUGCCCCUUAUGACCUGGGCUACACACGUGCUACAAUGGUUGGUACAACGAGUUGCGAGUCGGUGACGGCGAGCUAAUCUCUUAAAGCCAAUCUCAGUUCGGAUUGUAGGCUGCAACUCGCCUACAUGAAGUCGGAAUCGCUAGUAAUCGCGGAUCAGCACGCCCGCGGUCGAAUACGUUCCGGCCUU
rnacentral:rRNA from 1 species